CGCGCAUGGCGUCGCCCUUCCUUCCUUCCUCUUAAUCUUCUCUGCCAGCCGGCAGUGGCAUCCCAUGUGCUGCAGCUUCCAGCAUUGUCCUCUGCCUUGUCGGCCCACAGGCCAUUUGCCUCAGCCACCCCAGUCCAUUCACAAUUUCCAGCAGAUUCCGUUCAACACUAGUGUGCAGCUACCCGCCUCCUGGAUUCAGGGUUGCAUUCAUGGCUUCAUUCAAAAAGUGUACUGUGGGCAGAUGUUGAUCAACAAGUGAGCUAAGGGACUGGGACGCCCUCCUCGCCGCGGCGUCAUUGCUGGCCAUCAGCGGCGGAAGCGGGGUGGCGGCCGGGACCUUGUCGUGCUCGUCUCCGACUACUGUCAAGUAAAAAUUCAGGUUGGGAAGCUUAUUUUUUCCAAAGUGAUUGUUUGGGUACUACAAGCUCCCACGGAGUGGAACCGGUUGUUACAACAGGUUUGAAGUAGAUAUUACACAAGGUUUGAUUUUUCUAGACCAUGUACAAGAACAGUAGCGUACUUGGUCUGCCUUUUCUUAACUUUAUUUGAUUUUUUUUGUGAAAUAUAUAAAAGCCAGUAGCAGUACUAUUACUUAUUUUACAACAGGUCAUUGACUUAAACUAUAUCAGUUUAGCACAUGUAGUUACAAAAACAAAUCAACAGGUUUGUAGGUUUUUUUCAGCUCAUCUUGUUGGCUUUUUUGGUUCAUAUUGCAGGCUUUUAGGAUUAGAUACUCAUGUCUGUUUCAGUAUUAGGGAGAAGUAAAACCAUUCAUUUCUUGUAUAUUUAUUAUUACUGUAGUACUAGCUACUCCGUUCUAGUAGUAUACGGAGUAUGUGAUCAGCUCAUGCAAUAUAUACUAUGCACAAAAUGUCUGUACGGUGCUUUACAUACAAAGAACUUGCUUUCUCUAGACCAUGCAAGCUUCCUCAAAGGAGCUCAUAUCGAACGAGUGCUUUACAUACAAAUGAGCGCAAAGAUGACCAGUAGCUUAAUUUGGAUGUCGCGUGGCCGACACCAUUAUCGUAAAUUUUUGUCUCUGCACCAAGUUUCUUAAUGUAUCUUGUUCACAAAAUUUUAGUGAAAAAUUUACUUCAUGUUACUCGUGAUCUGGCAAUUGUAUGUUCACCUGUGAAGGUAUCUCUCAUUGCUUAUUGUUACAUUAAUUUCCAUGGUAAGAAAGGUUUACAUUAAAAGUAACAUCCAUAUAGGAAAAUUACUUCUAUUCUAACCUAUGUUUUUAAAGCGUCCCUAAGGCGACGCCUAGGCGACGCCUAGGCGUCGAAGCGCUCCCCCUCCGCUUUGGAAAAUCGACCGCUUUGGGCGCCUAGGCGUCCAAAGCGCCCGCCUAGGCGUCGCCUAGGCGCCAAAGCGCCCCCCCUCCCUAAGGCGGUAAGGCGUCGCCUUAAAAACAUAGAUUCUAACACUUUUUUUUUGGAAAAAAGAGCACUAGUACUGAUGAGUCGUAUUGACAAGGAUGCCGUCUAAAAUUCUGAUGAGUCCUACUGAGAAGGACAUAAUUAUUGUGCAACUGGAAAAAACAAAUGUUUUAUAAAGAAAUGUGCUUGAAGUUCAAUUACUAUGGUCUAAAAAAUUCAAUUAUAUCGCUAGUGCAUUCAGAAUUGCUAAUUUUAAAAAAAUGAAGUUCCUGUUUCAGGAUUAUGUAAGUUCAAAAUUAUUGUAUGAUAUGUGUGCCAUAGUUAUGUGGACUUCAACUCUGACUAAUAUUCCAUUAUAGUACUACUGCAUAUUCACUUCUGAUUGCUUCUUGCUGCCACUAUUUUUAUCAUGAUUUUGUGUGUCCACCCAGGAGUGUUUUUGUUUCUGUAGGUCAGCUGCUCAACAAUAAAAGCAUGUACAUGUAUUACUACUGCGAAGGUUCAAAAAUCAGAACUCAACAAGUUCAACGUCGAUGGUACUGUGCACAUGCGCUAAGCCGUUCUACAACAUAGCGCUAAGCCGUUCUACGCAGCUCGGGGAGCAAUGUCACUUCCAGAGUUCUAGUGGCUGUAGCAGCCAAGAAGGAACUGCCUAUUGCCGGCGGGGCUCAAGCGGUGUCACUUUCAGUGGCUAUAGCAGCCAAAAAAACCAAAACCCCUCUAUAUUCUGAUGGCAAAUCUGUAAGCAUCUCACUAAUGAAAGAGCUAUGAUGUGUACGUGUGAGUUUUAAAAGUGUGAGGCUAAGGUCAACCAUUAACCCAAAAUGUUUCACUGCCACUAACCACUUGAAAUUUAUGUACAACUUUUCAGUUUUUAUUGAUUGAUUGUUGGCUUUGUUCUUGACAAUCCUUUAUGAAUCUACUCUGCUUUUGUGGAUAGGCGAAAAAUAUUGUUUUUUAGUAUUUCUUGCUUCAGUAGAUUAUUGAACGAGGUUUCAGAGCAGAUUGAGAGAAAAAGAGAAAUGUUAGUUCAUGCUUCAGUACAUUAUUUUUCUUGCUCCAGUACAUUAUUUUUCUUUAUUACUCUUUUCAAUAUUUCUUGCUUCAGUACAUUAUUUUUCUCUUACUACAUUUCUUUGUUCUUUUCAUUCUGAAAAGGCUACCUUAGCAGCACAACUACGCUUUUUUUUCCUUUUCAGCUCUCAAACUGUAGCCUAGUUUUGUUGUCAGUUCUCUGUUUUUGAUGGAUCUGAUAUGGUUAGCCCUAUCUAGUUUUUCUGUAUGUACAGUGCUCUAGCAAAAGUUGUUGCUUCUUUCUUGUAGUACUAAUGUUGUUGCUUCUCCAAUCGAAUGUUGCUCAGCUUCCUCCCAAUCCACUUGAUCUCAUCUUGCUCCGAAGCAUGCUUUAGUUCGACAAUAAGCUCUAGAAAGGUUCAGAGUACUUUGCACUUCAGGUUGUGGUGGGUCGUGUGUUAUGAUGUGUUCAUCGCUAGUUCCUAUAGAGAUGUACUCUAUAUGAACUUUUCUGUUAUAGCUAAUUGAUCGAACAUAUCUCAUAGUGAUGUGGUUCCUUCUCUGUAUUUCUUUUGCUGUGGUGCACUACUAUAUUUGCAGAAAAAAUAAGUUCUUUUGUGAGAGAAUUCAGUCUGGAAUCAUGGAAAAAAGAGCAUACAUUGAACUGGCUUUUUAUGGUUUGUCCAAUCUAUUUAAUUUGGUAUGUGUAGAAAAGAUGCUAUGUCUACAUGUUCUUUAGCUGUUUGUCACUAUUCCUGUGAGCACAAAUUUUAAAAAAAUGUUUACUUUGUGUUCUCGCGUAUGUUUUUGGGCAGUACAAACACAUUGCCAUAGUGAGUACAGAUGCAGCACCUUGGGAAGUAGUAACGUUGCCGCGAUGGGCUUUCCGUGUGCAGGGUCCACUAGGUUCUGUUUCUGAGAGAAGCAUCGCCGUCUGGGAGAGUUCAAUGAUCUGAACUAGGAAAGUUCAUCGAUUCAUAACAAAAGAAAAUGGUGGUGUACACAGAGCUGGAGGUCGGCAAGUCGGGCAAGGCCACAGGAGUUGAACUACAGAAAAAAUAUCAGCCCAAUGACAGAAAAACAUCAGUUCAAUAAAUAUAUAUGCAGGAGGCUGGGAGCAAAAAAGACUGGCCACGUCGCGCCUCCACCUCCCUGUCGUGGCGUGCCUCCACAUCCCGGCCGC